rnacentral:rRNA from 1 species
AGCGGCGGAUGGGUGAGUAACACGUGGGGAACCUGCCCCUAAGUCUGGGAUACCAUUUGGAAACAGGUGCUAAUACCGGAUAAUAAAGCAGAUCGCAUGAUCAGCUUUUGAAAGGCGGCGUAAGCUGUCGCUAAGGGAUGGCCCCGCGGUGCAUUAGCUAGUUGGUAAGGUAACGGCUUACCAAGGCGACGAUGCAUAGCCGAGUUGAGAGACUGAUCGGCCACACUGGGACUGAGACACGGCCCAAACUCCUACGGGAGGCAGCAGUAGGGAAUCUUCCACAAUGGACGCAAGUCUGAUGGAGCAACGCCGCGUGAGUGAAGAAGGUUUUCGGAUCGUAAAGCUCUGUUGUUGGUGAAGAAGGAUAGAGGUAGUAACUGGCCUUUAUUUGACGGUAAUCAACCAGAAAGUCACGGCUAACUACGUGCCAGCAGCCGCGGUAAUACGUAGGUGGCAAGCGUUGUCCGGAUUUAUUGGGCGUAAAGCGAGCGCAGGCGGAAAAAUAAGUCUAAUGUGAAAGCCCUCGGCUUAACCGAGGAACUGCAUCGGAAACUGUUUUUCUUGAGUGCAGAAGAGGAGAGUGGAACUCCAUGUGUAGCGGUGGAAUGCGUAGAUAUAUGGAAGAACACCAGUGGCGAGGCGGCUCUCUGGUCUGCAACUGACGCUGAGGCUCGAAAGCAUGGGUAGCGAACAGGAUUAGAUACCCUGGUAGUCCAUGCCGUAAACGAUGAGUGCUAAGUGU